AUAUAUCAACCUCCUCAGCUUUUGCUUGUUGAGUGUUGGAUGUGGGGGCCUUUUUGCUGGUCUUUUCAAAAGGUCAGCUCCCCUAAAAUAUAUUAGCGGAACAAUUUGUUGACCGUUCAUUGGUGUGAUAAUUAUCUACGCUAUUGACGUGAGGCAGUUCAGCUUCUAACAGUCCAUUGACUUGGACAAAUUAUCAUUA
rnacentral:misc_RNA from 1 species